GGUAGGCAGCGAAAAAGUUUAUUACCAUUGCAAGUGGAUGGGGAACGCAUGUUUUUGUAAUAAUAGCGACUUUAUGUUAUGCCCUUAAAAAUUCUUCAAAGUUUCUUUUUCUUCUUUUACUUUUUCUUGCGGCAUGUACAGAUACAGAUCACUCAUGACAGCUCAAGUUACAAUUUUUACGAUCUAAGUUACGCAGAACACAUAAGUGUUUUUGUGUUGAUAACAAGAAAACGAAAAUAAACUGACGUAUAAAAAAAAAGUCGUACACAGCAUGCUACCAUGGUUACACGAAUACAUGAGAGUUGGGAAACCGAUUAGUUUGUUUAUCAAAUUAGAAAUGUUUAUUUCUUGACGUUGGUGAAUUAACAAAUCGACUCUCCCCAGCUAGUUAUUACGCAAUGCUAUUACCGACACCACGAAAAUGUAAUAAUAUUCUGCGGAGGAGAACCACAAAUAUUUUCGUUGCCAUGCUAAAAAUAAUAUUGAUUAGGAUAUAUCUGCCUUUCACUAUUUUCGUUUAUAUACAUCUCCAUAUAAGGAAAGUGUGUUACCAUAACUUUCACCGACAACAUAAACUAUUACGUCCUGAUCUUCUAAUAUGGUCAACGACAAUUGUUGCCUCACGACAAUACGACGACUGUAAACAAACAUGGAAUUAAUUUGUGUGAUAACAAAAUUGGAGCAACGUAUUUAUUGCGUGUUAUGUGUUAUGGAGCAUAUGUUUGGCGAGCUGCAGUAUAUGUAUCCAUUAUUUUUCUUCAAAAAGCAUACAAGCUAUAGAAAAGAUAGAAAACUUCAAUGAACAAACUUCAAAUAAUGUAUUUAUUUACAACCAGUCGUUAGCCAUGUGGAAAAAGACUACGGGUUUGCCGGUCCUUAAGUUUCACCUGUAAUAUAUGUUGUUUUUCUAGUCAAAAAUCAAGCUAAAAAUGUUGGUGA